rnacentral:tRNA from 1 species
GGAGGCGUCGCCUAGUCGGUCUAUGGCGCCCGCCUGCUAAGUGGGUUGAGGGGAAAACCCUCUCGCGGGUUCGAAUCCCGCCGCCUCCG